rnacentral:misc_RNA from 1 species
AAUUCUCAACCUUAUAAAGCUUGUCUUUGUAAGGCUUGGAUGUGGGGGUUUGCUGGUGUCUUUUAAAGACGUUUCCGGCUCCUCUGAAAUUCAUUAGUUGGUUUUGUCCUUUUUUCUUAAACCAAACCUUGGUGUGAUAAUUAUCUACGCCUUGGUGUUAAUUGGUUCAAGAGCUUGGGUAGUGCAUUAGUUUGUCUCUACCUGCUUAUCUAUCAAGAGUUUUGCAUUAAGUUGCUUUACUUGGAUAGGAAAGUCUAUCGAGUGGCGGUUGCAUUAAGUUGCUCUGUCUGGAUAGCAAGGACAUGUAUGCUAGCUUUCUAACUGUCUUCGGACACUUAUUGACU